GGUACAAUGUAGUUUAUUAACCACUUGGAAAUGGGACAUCUAUGAAAGAGACAAGAAAUCCGAUUUUGUCAAUUCUUAGAGAGAUGAUUUCUUAAAAUGCUUCCAGUUCCAUCCCAAAUAGCUGCCUGAGACCUCAAUUUAUUGAAUCUAAUGGAGAUGGGAGAUGGAACGAUGAGACCGAUAGUGACAUGAUGUGUGGCUUUGCUGAGGUCAUGGACUUGCUUAAUUCCUUUCCAGAGGGACUGAAGAGAGAAGGAGAGUGGGAAGGAAACUAAUCCAUUACCCACCACUCAAGAUUUCCCUUCCCCUUGUGCCACUCAGAAGGUAGCACUUCUGGAAUCUGGAACUUCUGGACAAAGGUCUCAAGAUUUGGCUUUCGUUCAUCUGACACCUAUGUCAAAAACUGAGAGCUAAUAUUACCAAACCAGGUUCCUUAAAAAACUACGGUGGUUGGUCGUAUUUGGCACAUCUCCAAACAGUGAUUGGCCCUAGUGGGGAAAAAGCCCGCUUCCCCAAGUAAUAUGUGUGUGGCGACAACCAGGAGGUGCACUGAGGCUGAGUUACAGUGAUGCCCAGCCCUGGCAAUGAUUUCAGCCAGACAUUUGAAGAGACAACGAAAAAUCUGAGCAGCUGAGGAGCAGGACAGGAGCUAUAUACACACAAAACACCAGCACGUGGUGAGAAAAGUGAUGGUUUUGAUUUAUGGCUUGGUGACAAGAAGCCUGGGGAGGAGGUGGUAAUUGUCUACAGAUAUUG